rnacentral:sRNA from 1 species
UUCCGUAGGUGAACCUGCGGAAGGAUCAUUACCGAGUGCGGGUUCCAACGAGCCCAACCUCCCACCCGUGUUUACCAUGACCGCGUUGCCUCGGCGGGCCCACUGGGGCCUGGCCCCGGUCGCCGGGGGGCUUCUGCCCCCGGGUCCGCGCCCGCCGAAGCGCCCUGGAACCCUGUCUGAAUAGUGAGUCUGAGUCGAUGAUUAAAUCAUUAAAACUUUCAACAACGGAUCUCUUGGUUCCGGCAUCGAUGAAGAACGCAGCGAAAUGCGAUAAGUAAUGUGAAUUGCAGAAUUCCGUGAAUCAUCGAAUCUUUGAACGCACAUUGCGCCCCCUGGCAUUCCGGGGGGCAUGCCUGUCCGAGCGUCAUUUCUGCCCUCCAGCCCGGCUGGGUGUUGGGUGCUGUCCCCCCGGGGACACGCCCCAAAGGCAGUGGCGGCGCCGCGUCGGGUCCUCGAGCGUAUGGGGCUUUGUCACCCGCUCGGGACGGACUCGUCGGCGCUGGUCUUCCUCCAGGCGACCCUUCGGGGCCCGUCUACCUUCGGUUGACCUCGGAU